UACGUAGGGUGCGAGCGUUAAUCGGAAUUACUGGGCGUAAAGCGUGCGCAGGCGGUUCGUUGUGUCUGAUGUGAAAGCCCCGGGCUUAACCUGGGAAUGGCAUUGGAAACUGGCGAGCUGGAGUGUGGCAGAGGGGGGUGGAAUUCCGCGUGUAGCAGUGAAAUGCGUAGAGAUGCGGAGGAACACCGAUGGCGAAGGCAGCCCCCUGGGCCAAAACUGACGCUCAGGCACGAAAGCGUGGGGAGCAAACAGG
rnacentral:rRNA from 1 species